rnacentral:rRNA from 1 species
GACGAACGCUGGCGGCGUGCUUAACACAUGCAAGUCGAACGGAAAGGCCCUGCUUUUGUUGCUUUCUCGUUUGCCGCACGGGGGAGUGACACGCGAGUAACCUCCCCCUAUCUUUCUGAUAUCUUUACGAAACUCGGUCUCUUACCCGGUAGGAUCUCCUGCUCCACGGUGUGCGUUGGAAAGUUUCGGCGGUUCGGGAUGGACUCGCUGCUUAUGCGCUUCUUGGUGGGGUAGUUACUUACCAAGGCUGUGACGGCUAGCCGGCCUGAGAGGCGGAACGGCGACAUUGGGCCUGAGAUAGGGCGCAGACUCCUACGGGAGGCAGCAGUGGAAAAUAUUGCGCAGCAGGCGGAAGCCUGAUGCAGCAACGCCGCGUGCGGAAUGACGGCUUACGGGUGGAGAACAGAUGUCGCAUGUGACGAAGAGUGAGUGACGGUAACGAGUAAAGAAGCACCGGCUAACUACGUG